rnacentral:tRNA from 1 species
GUUGCGAUGGCCGAGUGGUUAAGGCGUUGGACUUGAAAUUCAAUAGGAUUUUCCCGCGCAGGUUCGAACCCUGCUCGUAACG